rnacentral:rRNA from 1 species
UACGUAGGUGGCGAGCGUUAUCCGGAAUUACUGGGCGUAAAGCGCACGCAGGCGGUCUUUUAAGUUUGACGUGAAAGCUCUCGGCUUAACUGGGAGAGGUCGUUGAAGACUGGAAGGCUUGAGGCAAUGAGAGGGGUGUAGAAUUCCCGGUGUAGUGGUGGAAUGCGUAGAUAUCGGGGGGAAUACCAGUGGCGAAAGCGGCACCCUAGCGUUAGCCUGACGCUCAUGUGCGAAAGCGUGGGGAGCGAACGGGAUUAGAAACCCCCGUAGUCC